UACGUAGGGGGCAAGCGUUGUCCGGAAUCAUUGGGCGUAAAGAGCGUGUAGGCGGCCCGGUAAGUCCGCUGUGAAAGUCGGGGGCUCAACCUCGAAUGCCGGUGGAUACUGUCGGGCUAGAGUGCGGAAGAGGCGAGUGGAAUUCCUGGUGUAGCGGUGAAAUGCGCAGAUAUCAGGAGGAACACCGAUUGCGAAGGCAGCUCGCUGGGACGUAACUGACGCUGAGACGCGAAAGCGUGGGGAGCGAACAGG
rnacentral:rRNA from 1 species